rnacentral:rRNA from 1 species
UACGUAGGGGGCAAGCGUUGUCCGGAUUCAUUGGGCGUAAAGAGCGUGUAGGCGGCCAGGUAGGUCGGUUGUGAAAACUGGAGGCUCAACCUUCAGAGGUCGACCGAAACCAUCUGGCUAGAGUCCGGGGGAGGAGAGUGGAAUUCCUGGUGUAGCGGUGAAAUGCGCAGAUAUCAGGAAGAACACCCGUGGCGAAGGCGGUUCUCUGGGACGGUACUGACGCUGAGACGCGAAAGCGUGGGGAGCGAACAGG